GGGGUUGUGGCUCAGAGGUAGAGUGCGCACCUAGCAUGCGUGAGGCACUGAGUUCAAUCCUCAGCACCA
rnacentral:tRNA from 1 species